CAUGCAAGUCGAACGGGAAACCUUUUAAAGAAGCUUCGGCAGAUUUAGCUGGUUUCUAGUGGCGGACGGGUGAGUAACGCGUGGGUAACCUGCCUUGUACAGGGGGAUAACAGUCAGAAAUGACUGCUAAUACCGCAUAAGCGCACAGGACCGCAUGGUCCGGUGUGAAAAACUCCGGUGGUAUAAGAUGGACCCGCGUUGGAUUAGCUGGUUGGUGGGGUAACGGCCUACCAAGGCGACGAUCCAUAGCCGGCCUGAGAGGGUGAACGGCCACAUUGGGACUGAGACACGGCCCAGACUCCUACGGGAGGCAGCAGUGGGGAAUAUUGCACAAUGGGGGAAACCCUGAUGCAGCGACGCCGCGUGAAGGAAGAAGUAUCUCGGUAUGUAAACUUCUAUCAGCAGGGAAGAAAAUGACGGUACCUGACUAAGAAGCCCCGGCUAACUACGUGCCAGCAGCCGCGGUAAUACGUAGGGGGCAAGCGUUAUCCGGAUUUACUGGGUGUAAAGGGAGCGUAGACGGAUGGACAAGUCUGAUGUGAAAGGCUGGGGCUCAACCCCGGGACUGCAUUGGAAACUGCCCGUCUUGAGUGCCGGAGAGGUAAGCGGAAUUCCUAGUGUAGCGGUGAAAUGCGUAGAUAUUAGGAGGAACACCAGUGGCGAAGGCGGCUUACUGGACGGUAACUGACGUUGAGGCUCGAAAGCGUGGGGAGCAAAUAGGAUUAGAUACCCUGGUAGUCCACGCGGUAAACGAUGAAUGCUAGGUGUCGGGGAGCAAAGCUCUUCGGUGCCGCCGCAAACGCAUUAAGCAUUCCACCUGGGGAGUACGUUCGCA
rnacentral:rRNA from 1 species